rnacentral:rRNA from 1 species
UACGGGGGGGGCAAGCGUUGUUCGGAAUUACUGGGCGUAAAGGGCUCGUAGGUUGCCAACUAAGUCAGACGUGAAAUCCCUCGGCUUAACCGGGGAACUGCGUCUGAUACUGGAUGGCUUGAGUAUGGGAGAGGUGAGUGGAAUUUCCGGUGUAGCGGUGAAAUGCGUAGAUAUCGGAAGGAACACCUGUGGCGAAAGCGGCUCACUGGACCAUAACUGACGCUGAGGCGCGAAAGCUAGGGGAGCAAACAGG